UACAGAGGGGGCAAGCGUUAUUCGGAAUUACUGGGCGUAAAGCGUGCGUAGACGGUUAUUUAAGUCGGAUGUGAAAGCCCCGGGCUCAACCUGGGAAUUGCAUUCGAGACUGAAUAGCUAGGGUGCGGUAGAGGGAAGCGGAAUUUCCGGUGUAGCGGUGAAAUGCGUAGAUAUCGGCAGGAACAUCAGUGGCGAAAGCGGCUUCCUGGACCAGCACCGACGUUCAGGCACGAAAGCGUGGGGAGCAAACAGG
rnacentral:rRNA from 1 species